GCCACAUUAGCUCAUCCGGUAGAGCGCAGCAUUCGUAAUGCUGAGGUACGGUGUUCGAGUCACCGAUGUGGCACCA
rnacentral:tRNA from 1 species